ACCCCAACAAGACUCAGGAAUGCU
rnacentral:piRNA from 1 species